GACGUAGGGUGCAAGCGUUGUCCGGAUUUACUGGGCGUAAAGAGCGCGUAGGCGGCUCGUUAAGUGAGAAGUGAAAGCUGUGGGCUCAACCCAUAAACCGCUUUUCAUACUGGCGAGCUGGAGUGAUGCAGAGGUGGAUAGAAUUCCCGGUGUAGCGGUGAAAAUGCGUUGAUAUCUGGAGGAAUACCGGUGGCGAAGGCGGCAUCCUGGACCGAUAUUGACACUGAUGAGCGAAAGCUAGGGGAGCAAACGGG
rnacentral:rRNA from 1 species